CGCAGCCGCGGUAAUUCCAGCUCCAAUAGCGUAUAUUAAAGUUGUUGCAGUUAAAAAGCUCGUAGUUGAAUUUCGGGAUUUAUCCGUCGGUCGGGCUUUUGGGUCUGUACUGGCGUGAUGAAUCCCUACCUUCUGAAUAACCAGCAUGCCAUUAAUUUGGUGCGCCGGGGAAGCAGGACUGUUACCUUGAAAAAAUUAGAGUGCUUAAAGCAGGCUAUUGCCUGAAUACAUUAGCAUGGAAUAAUGAAAUAGGACGGCAUGGUUCUAUUUUGUUGGUUUCUAGGAUCACCGUAAUGAUUAAUAGGGAUAGUUGGGGGCAUUAGUAUUCAAUUGUCAGAGGUGAAAUUCUUGGAUUUAUUGAAGACUAACUUCUGCGAAAGCAUUUGCCAAGGAUGUUUUCAUUAAUCAAGAACGAAAGUUAGGGGAUCGAAGACGAUCAGAUACCGUCGUAGUCUUAACCAUAAACUAUGCCGACUAGGGAUCGGACGAUGUUAAUUUUUUAAUGACUCGUUCGGCGCCU
rnacentral:misc_RNA from 2 species